rnacentral:lncRNA from 10 species
GAGCACCUUGUGACCCCCACCCCUGCCAGCCAGAGAACAACCCCCUUUGACUGUAAUUUUCCACUACCUACCCAAAUGCUAUAAAACGGCCCCACCCCUAUCUCCCUUCGCUGACUCUCUUUUCGGACUCAGCCCGCCUGCACCCAGGUGAAAUAAACAGCCUUGUUGCUCACACAAAACCUGUUUGGUGGUCUCUUCACACGGAUGCGCGUGAAACCCUAUACAUACUGACAGAAUAUAUUUUGCACUACAAAAGAAGAAAUCCAAGCUUGUGAAUUUGGAAGUUUAUGUAGAUAUUGCUCUACACAUACCACUCUCUUCUCUAAAGUAAGCUGAGUUUUCUCUGAGAAGAAAAAGGUGAAGAUCCCUGCCCUCAUUAUGCAAGCACUUGGCACCGGAGAAGAAAAGUUUUAUUGCCCUUUGAAUGGAAGCAGAUGGCUCCAGGUCUGACACUUGGCCUCUGAGCCCAAGCUAAGCCAUCUUAUCCCCUGUGACCUGCACAUACACAUCCAGAUGGCCGGUUCCUGCCUUAACUGAUGACAUUCUACCACAAAAGAAGUGAAAAUGGCCUGUUCCUGCCUUAACUGAUGACAUUGUCUUGUGAAAUUCCUUCUCCUGGCUCAUCCUGGCUCAAAAGCUCCCCCACUGAGUACCUUGUGACCCCCACUCCUGCCCGCCAGAGAACAACCCCCCUUUUUCCUUUACCUACCCAAAUCCUAUAAAAAGGCCCCACCCCAUCUCCCUUCGCUGACUCUCUUUUCGGACUCAGCCUGCCUGCACCCAGGUGAUUAAAAGCUUUAUUGCUCACACAAAGCCUGUUUGGUGGUCUCUUCACACGGACACACCAGUAAUACAAAUUAGAAAUUUGUAUUACUAAUACAUGUCAUACAUACAUUUAAUACAUAUAAGUAAUAUUACAUUAGGACUUAUUUUGCCAUCUUAUUUCAUAUUCACAUUUUCUAUUUCUGUAUUUCUGUUUUGCUUCUUUUUGUCAUUUUCUAACCCCAUUGAAAAGGCUGAUUAUUCUAGUUUGAGAGUUUUUUUAAAAGUGUAUGUUAGUUUUCUGGAAGCUACCUCUAAUUUAUUAAGAUACAUACCUAAGUUUAUUUUUCUCUAUCAUUUCUGAAGUCGAUCAGUAUCUUUAUAUUUUUGGGCAAACAAGGCAAUGAUGUUAGCAUGAUCCCCUUUCUAGCUUUCUGGUAUCUCUUGCCCUUCCCAUCCUUUAACCCUGACAUAUUGGUUUCAUCGAUUUCUUGUUCUGGCAGACUUUGGGUAUCCUAUUUUAGGUAAUGACAGAAUGUUACAAGUUACUUAUUUUAGCCCACUUCCAUUAUAUAUUUUAAUGAUUUCCUGUAUUUAUUUAUCUUCUUGAUGGAGUUCUGUUUCCCAGAGUGUUUUACGGAGUCUUUGUGUGAUAAAACUUCAGAGGCAUUGAGAAUGUUUUCAUUUACCCUCUUAUUAAAUAAUAGUUUUGCUGUAUGUAAGUACUAUAAAUUGAAAUACUUCUGAAAACAUUACCACAUUUUUUUUUCUUAAAGUGUUACUCUUGAGAACCUAAUGUAAAUCUGAUUUUUUUUUUUAUAGGAAGACACAAGUUCUUUCUUUUUCUUUUAUUUUUGUACGUAUAAGUUUAUGGGGUACAAGUGUUAUUUUGUUACAGGUAUAGAUUGCAUAUUUGGGAAAUCAGGGCUUUUAGAGUAUCAAUCACUUAAAUAACAUACAUUGUACCCAUUAAGUUAUCUCUCAUCAUCCAUCCUUCUUCUACCUCCUUACCCUUCUGGGUCUUCAAUAUCUAUCAUCCCACACUCUAUACACUCUAUAUCCAUGUAUAUACAUUAUUUAGUUCCCACCUUUUAAGUGAGAACAUGCAGUAUUUGUCAUUUUAUGUCUGACUUCUGUCACUUAAGAUAAUGGCCUCCAGCUCUAUUCAUGUUGUUGCGAAAGACAUGAUUUUAUUUUUUAUGAAUGAAUAAUAUUUUAUUUUGCAUGUAUGAUACAUUGUCUUCAUCCAGUCAUCUGUUGGGGGACACUUUGGUGGUUUCCACAUGUUUGCUAUUGUGAAUAAUGCUGUGAUAAACAUACAGGUGUAGGUAUCUCUUUGAUGUAAUGAUUUCUUUUCCUUUGAGUAGAUAUUCAGUAGUGGGAUUGCUGGAUUCAAUGAUAGUCCUAUUUUUUAUUCUUUGAAAAAUCUUCAUACUAAAGGUUUCACUAAUUUACAUUGCCAACAGUGUCUAAGAGUUCCAUUUUCUCCACGUCCUCACCAACAUCUGUUAUUAUUUGUCUUUUAAUAAUAGCCAUGCCAGUUGCUAUAAGAUGAUAUCUCAUUGUGGUUUUAAUUUGUGUUUCUCUGAUGAUUAGUGGGAUUGUUUUUUCAUAUGUUGGCCAUUUGUAUGUUCUCUUUUGAAAUACGUCUAUUCAUGUCCUUUGUCUAAUUUUUAACGAGAUUAUUUGUUUGUUGUUGUUGCUGUUGAGUUCCUUGAGUUCUUUGAAUUCGGAUAUUAAAUUUUAUAAAUAUAUUAUUUAUGUAACUAUGCCACAUAUAGUUUGCAAAUAUUUUCUCCCAUUAUGCAAGUUGACUGUUCAUUCUUUUGAUUAUUUAUUUUGCUGUAGGGAAGCUUUUUGAGUCCCAUUUGACUAUUUUUGUUUCUGAUGCCUGUGAUUUGAGGUCUUUGUCAUGAAUUCUUUGCCUAGCUCAAUGUCCUGAGGAGUUUUCCUAGAUUUUCUUCUAGUAUUUUUAUAGUUUCAGGUUUUACAUUUAAGUCUUUAACCUAUCUUGAGUUGAUUUUUUACAUGGUGAGAGAUAAGGUCCAGUUUUAUUCUUCUGAAUACAGCAACCCAAAUUUCCCA